UACAUAGGGUGCAAGCGUUAUCCGGAAUUAUUGGGCGUAAAGCGUUCGUAGGUGGUAUGUUAAGUCUGAAGUUAAAGACUGGAGCUCAACUCCAGCACGCUUUAGAUACUGGCAUACUUGAGAGUCAUGCAGAGGUUAGUGGAAUUCCAUAUGUAGCGGUGGAAUGCGUAGAUAUAUGGAGGAACACCAAUGGCGAAGGCAACUAACUGGACAUGUACUGACACUGAGGGACGAAAGCGUGGGGAGCAAACAGG
rnacentral:rRNA from 1 species